UACAGAGGGUGCAAGCGUUGUUCGGAAUUAUUGGGCGUAAAGGGCGCGUAGGCGGCAUGGCAAGUGGAUGGUGAAAUCCCUCGGCUUAACCGAGGAACUGCCGUCCAAAACUGCUUCGCUUGAGACCGGGGAGAGGUGAGUGGAAUUCCCAGUGUAGCGGUGAAAUGCGUAGAUAUUGGGAGGAACACCAGUGGCGAAGGCGGCUCACUGGACCGGUACUGACGCUGAUGCGCGAAAGCGUGGGGAGCAACGGGG
rnacentral:rRNA from 1 species